rnacentral:rRNA from 1 species
GCUGGCGGCAGGCCUAACACAUGCAAGUCGAGCGGUAACACAGGGGAGCUUGCUCCUUGGGUGACGAGCGGCGGACGGGUGAGUAAUGCCUGGGGAUCUGCCCGAUAGAGGGGGAUAACUACGGGAAACUGUAGCUAAUACCGCAUAAUGUCUACGGACCAAAGUGGGGGCUCUUCGGACCUCAUGCUAUCGGAUGAACCCAGGUGGGAUUAGCUAGUUGGUGAGGUAAUGCCUCACCAAGGCGACGAUCUCUAACUGGUUUGAGAGAAUGACCAGUCACACUGGAACUGAGACACGGUCCAGACUCCUACGGGAGGCAGCAGUGGGGAAUAUUGCACAAUGGGCGCAAGCCUGAUGCAGCCAUGCCGCGUGUGUGAAGAAGGCCUUCGGGUUGUAAAGCACUUUCAGCGGGGAGGAAGGGUCACUAGUUAAUACCUAGUGGCAUUGACGUUACUCGCAGAAGAAGCACCGGCUAACUCCGUGCCAGCAGCCGCGGUAAUACGGAGGGUGCAAGCGUUAAUCGGAAUUACUGGGCGUAAAGCGCACGCAGGCGGUUUGUUAAGUCAGAUGUGAAAUCCCCGAGCUCAACUUGGGAACUGCAUUUGAAACUGGCAAGCUAGAGUCUUGUAGAGGGGGGUAGAAUUCCAGGUGUAGCGGUGAAAUGCGUAGAGAUCUGGAGGAAUACCGGUGGCGAAGGCGGCCCCCUGGACAAAGACUGACGCUCAGGUGCGAAAGCGUGGGGAGCAAACAGGAU